CUCUGUUCUGUGCCAUGCCAAAAAUGAUCAGUACCUGCACGUCCCUCUGCCCAUUUGCAAUCAUGCCGGCCAGAUGGCCAAGUCUGCCUUUCAGGGCAGGCAUGCAGUCAAGAACAGCUUGCUCACAGCUACAGACUACUAGGAUCACUACAGAUACAACUGCACUGCAGCAUUGACCUGAGCCUCAUGCACUACCCUGCUGUUGAUCCCACUUCUUGCCACCUGGGGAGAGCCAGGAAGCCCCGAGGAAAUAUUGUACUACAGCAUUCAUUGCAAAAGCCACAGCUGAGGAAUUGUUGGAGGAGGAACAAGUCAGGGCACCUGGUUAUCAAGACUGCUGACAGGGCGUCUGGGAAGGAACACCUUGCUGCUGAGCACGUUGAGCAAAUCCCACACCAGGGUGCUGCUGAGGUGGCUGGGCCCUGACAGCUGCUCUGCUUGUAGGCGAGGACUCCUUUCUAACACAAGAGGGAAAGACACAUGGAGAAGACAGGCUGCUCAAAAGUAAGCAGACAGACAGGGCAAGGGACCUCAGGUAUCUGUCCUCCUUUACAUUUCAUUAGAGUUUAAAUGGUGAUGAGACCGGUGUGAAAGGGCUCGUACAGGGUGGUGAUCAGUUCCAAAAACAAGCCAUCUAAAAUCAAGCUGGCACAAACCACCUUCCUGCAGCUGUG